rnacentral:tRNA from 1 species
AGGUCGGUAGUUUCAAUUGGCAAAACGUGGGAUUCCAAAUCCUUUGUUCUAGGUUCGAGUCCUAGUCGGCCUGCCA